UGUAGCUGCAAGAACCAGGAAAGGGAUGUUUUACAGAAAUGACGAUCUUCAUCAAGAGAAUGAUGAUCGCCAGUCUAGGAUUACUCCCUCUACCAAAUGUCAGGAGAUUAGACAACUCUGAGUUACUAACGAGAAGCUCCAAAUUUUGAUGAGGAAAUUUUUCCUGGAAUAUUUCAAGGGGCCUGCAACCUUUGGCUGACACCCAACAAGGCUAUUAAUUCAGCCAUGAGAUACACUACAGAAAAUAGAAGAGUCAGCAAUUCAUCUCUGUGGACCAGCUCGUAACCUUCACCAAGAACUCUUUAGAACAUGGGAAGAACCGAUAAAAUAGAAGACAAGUACCGAAGAUUACUUAACAACUUCCGAUGGCUGGCACAGCAUCAGCCCCCACAUUUUCCAUGGACGUGGAGGAGUACAACAGGAGCAUGGAGCCUACUGACCUA